AAUAGAUACCCCGGUAGUCCUAGCCGUAAACGAUGAACACUAGGCGUAGUCGGUAUCGACCCCGGCUGUGCCGUAGCUAACGCAUUAAGUGUUCCGCCUGGGGAGUACGGCCGCAAGGCUAAAACUCAAAGGAAUUGACGGGGGCCCGCACAAGCAGCGGAGCGUGUGGUUUAAUUCGUCGCAACGCGAAGAACCUUACCAGGGCUUGACAUGUGGCGGAAAACGGCGGAAACGUCGUCCUCCCGCAAAGGACCGUCAUGCAGGUGUUGCAUGGCUGUCGUCAGCUCGUGUCGUAAGAUGUUGGGUUAAGUCCCGCAACGAGCGCAACCCCCGUGGCAUGUUGUAUCUCUCAUGCCAGACUGCCGAGAGAAACUCGGAGGAAGGUGGGGAUGACGCCAAGUCAGCAUGGCCCUUACGUCCUGGGCUACACACACGCUACAAUGGCCGGUACAACGGGUUGCCAAACCGCGAGGUGGAGCUAAUCCCUUAAAGCCGGUCUCAGUUCGGAUUGCAGGCUGCAACUCGCCUGCAUGAAGCCGG
rnacentral:rRNA from 1 species